rnacentral:rRNA from 1 species
AUUGAACGCUGGCGGCAGGCCUAACACAUGCAAGUCGAACGAGUGGCGGACGGGUGAGUGAUGUCUGGGCAACUGACCGAUGGAGGGGGAUAACUACUGGAAACGGUAGCUAAUACCGCAUACCAUCGGAUGUGCCCAGAUGGGAUUAGCUAGGAGGUGGGGUAACGGCUCACCAAGGCGCCGAUCCCUAGCUGGUCUGAGAGGAUGACCGGCCACACUGGAACUUGGACACGGCCCAGACUCCUACGGGAGGCAGCAGUGGGGAAUAUUGCGCAAUGGGCGAAAGCCUGAUGGAGCCAUGCCGCGUGUAUGAAGAAGGCCUUCGGGUUGUAAAGUACUGUCAGCGAGGAGGCGUUACUCGCAGAAGAAGCAACGGCUAACUCCGUGCCAGCAGCCGCGGUAAUAC